rnacentral:rRNA from 1 species
GACGAAGGGGGCUAGCGUUGUUCGGAUUUACUGGGCGUAAAGGGCGCGUAGGCGGCGUGACAAGUCACUUGUGAAAUCUCCGGGCUUAACUCGGAACGGUCAAGUGAUACUGUCGUGCUAGAGUACAGAAGGGGCAACUGGAAUUCUCGGUGUAGCGGUGAAAUGCGUAGAUAUCGAGAGGAACACUGCGGCGAAGGCGGGUUGCUGGGCUGAUACUGACGCUGAGGCGCGAAAGCUAGGGGAGCGAACGGG